rnacentral:lncRNA from 1 species
UUACUUUUUCAGAUUAUUAACGUUCAAUAGUACUCUACCCACUACAACUGCAAGUUCCGGAAUCAACUCUAUCCAACAGCUUUUUGCAUAUGGACAACAAACACCAGGAGCAAUACCCAUUGUUGUAGGUUUUCAAGAUAAGCUGAUUUGUACUGUAGCACCAUUGACCACAUCAGCAGAUCAAGAAUCAACAACAAAAAAGAUCAAAAGAUGGGAUGAAGAAUGGACAAUGAUUUAGUAAAAGAGAUGCUCAAUUCAAAUAUUUUUAGCUACAAAUGUAAUUCGAAGAGCCGAGGUUUGCGAUCAAUCCAUUCGGAGCAACAACAGACUGAAAUUUAUUACCAUGAAUUCUUUUAUGUCCAUUUUACAUAAUUCUUUGCGACUGUACAGGUUUACAAACGGGUCGAACGGUAACAAUCUAUGAACCCCCCACCAACAGUUGUUGAGCAGUUUAUCCUUAGUUUGAAUAACAUUACAAAAUUCUUGAAGCUUAUCUGGAGCAAGUCAUGGCUGUUGGAGGGUUUCCAAAAGAUGGUUACAAUUGUCGUAAAUAAUGAUGUCCACGAUUUUGCACUUUGCCAAAAACAACUCUGUUAUGACCGACCGAAGUUUGGAACCAUGUCUGCAUAUCGACAUGAUACGCAAAAC